CAGACAUGCUCCGUGCGUUCAGCCGAAAGGUGUACUCGUACGGUUGCAGGCUAGAGUCUGUUCUUGGGGUCGGAUAAGGCUCGAGGGAAUGUGGCACCUCCGGGUGUGUUAUAGCCCUUGUUCACAUACGACGGCUGGGAUCGAGGACCGCAGCACGCCUUUUGGCAUUGGCUUCGGCCUUUUCCGCGCUAAGGNUUCUGGCUUAAUGGCUUUAAGCGACCCGUCUUGAAACACGGACCAAGGA
rnacentral:rRNA from 1 species